CACAUGGGACGAAAGUCUGAUGGAAGCAAUACCAUGUGAACGAUGAAGGCCUUUUUGGUUGUAAUGUUCUUUUACGAGGGAUAAUUAUGAUAGUACUUCGUGAAUAAGUGACAGCAAACUAUGUGCCAGCAGCUGCGGUAAUACAUAGGUCGCGAGCAUUAUUCGGAUUUAUUGGGCGUAAAGCAAGCGCAGGCGGAUGUGUAAGUUCUGUGUUAAAUGCAGCUACUCAAUAGUUGUAUGCACCGAAUACUACAUGUCUAGAUUGUGGUAGGGAGUUUCGGAAUUAAGCAUGGAGCGGUGGAAUGUGUAGAUAUGCUUAAGAACACCAGAGGCGAAGGCGGAAACUUAGGCCAUAAAUGACGCUUAGGCUUGAAAGUGUGGGGAGCAAAUGGGAUUAGAUACCCCAAGUAGUCCACACCGUAAACGAUGGGUAUUAGAUAUUAGGGCUUUAGCUUUAGUGUUGUAGCUUACGCGUUAAAUACCCCGCC
rnacentral:rRNA from 1 species